rnacentral:rRNA from 1 species
CACCGCGGUUAUACGAGAGACUCAAGUUGUUAGUCGUCGGCGUAAAGAGUGGUUAAGAGAUACAAAAAACUAAAGCCGAACGCCUCCAGAGCAGUUAUACGCUUCCGAAGGUAAGAAGCCCGACUACGAAAGUGGCUUUAUCAAUUCUGACUCCACGAAAGCUAGGGAA